rnacentral:rRNA from 1 species
ACGAUUGGGCCGACGUCGCAUGCUCCCGGCCGCCAUGGCGGCCGCGGGAAUUCGAUUCAGUCUGCUGUUAAAGCGUGGAGCUUAACUCCAUCAUGGCAGUGGAAACUGAAAGGCUUGAGUAUGGUAGGGGCAGAGGGAAUUCCCGGCGUAGCGGUGAAAUGCGUAGAUAUCGGGAAGAACACCAGUGGCGAAGGCGCUCUGCUGGGCCAUUACUGACGCUCAUGGACGAAAGCCAGGGGAGCGAAAG